UACUAGAGUAGCACUCGCAUAUCAAUAAGCGGAGGAAAAGAAACUAACAAGGAUUCCCCUAGUAACGGCGAGUGAAGCGGGAAGAGCUCAAAUUUGAAAUCUUAAAGGGUUUCCCUUUACGAAUUGUAGUUUAAAGAAGUGUUUUCUGUUGAGGUUUUGGUAAAAGUUCUUUGGAAUAGGACAUCAUAGAGGGUGAGAAUCCCGUAUUUGACCUUUACUUUCAACUUUGUGAUACACUUUCAAAGAGUCGGAUUGUUUGGGAAUUGCAGUCCAAAAUGGGUGGUAAAUUUCAUCUAAAGCUAAAUAUUGGCGAGAGAACCGAUAGCGAACAAGUACCGUGAGGGAAAGAUGAAAAGAACUUUGAAAAGAGAGUUAAACAGUACGUGAAAUUGUCAAAAGGGAAGCGUUUGACACCAGUGUUGUUUUUCUGAAAAUCAAUUAAAGAACUGUUUAUGCUAAGCUGUUUAGACUUUAUCAGCUAAUCUGUUUAGUUUUGAGCUUUUCUUUAAUGCACUUUUCAGUUAACAAGUCAACAUCAAUUUCUUUUGCUGUAAAAAAAGCUUGAGGAAGGUGGCUUGAGAUUCGUCUUAAGUGUUUAUAGCCUCUUGCCUAUGCAGUCGGAGAGAUUGAGGUCUGCAGCGUAGAUCCUUCGGGGCUAAAUGCAUUUGUGCUAAGUUAUAGCAUUUCAUAGACAACUUGUUGACUAUGAUUUGUCUUGUAGCUUACUCGCUUAUGUUAUUUUACCUACGCUUAGGAUGUUGAGUCAUCACACAUCUCU
rnacentral:rRNA from 1 species